UACGUAGGAUCCGAGCGUUAUCCGAAUUCACUGGGCGUAAAGCGCGUGCAGGCGGUUUGGUAAGUUGGAUGUGAAAGCUCCCGGCUCAACUGGGAGAGGCCGUUCAAAACUACCAGACUUGAGGGCGGUAGAGGGAGGUGGAAUUCCCGGUGUAGUAGUGAAAUGCGUAGAUAUCGGGAGGAACACCAGUGGCGAAGGCGGCCUCCUAGACCGUUCCUGACGCUGAGAUGCGAAAGCUAGGGGAGCAAACGGG
rnacentral:rRNA from 1 species